UUGAUACGCACGCGAGAACUCGCGAUUAGUCUAACGCGUCAGAACAAGCGGGAUGAGAGUUCUGGCGAUUGAGUAAAAAGAGUGUAUCUCAGGAAUAAAACGCAUCAGAACCCGUUGCUAUCAAAUCAUCAUGAAACUUGAUACAGAUAUAGUAUGAGAUAAAAUAUGUAAUAAUUAGAGUAUGUAAAUAUUUAGUAGUGUAGUAAAAUAUAUAAUAAAAGAGUAGUAUAAUAAAAUAUGAAGAAAUCUAAUCAAAAUCGAAUCGCUAAAUAAGUCGAUCCAAAAUCAGAAAACGGACUUGCCACUCAUACAAUCUUAUUUUGGCAAUAAAAUAGCAUUGUUCGUAAAUUCGACUCCUCAUAAAUCGCACUGUAACUUUGCCAUCUAUAUGAAUGGAAAGUGUGUCUAGUUCAUACACUUUGAUAAAAUGAAUGAUUAGUGAUUGGCAAGAUUUUAUCCAUUUUCUUCGAUUUUGUCGAUGUCCAUUUUUGCAUAAUUCUCAUAGGCUUGGAGAGCGAAGAAAAUAUGAAGAUACUGAAAACUUCGAAGUGAUCGAUCUCUGAAGAAAACUUUUUGGUGCAACAGAAGAUCGAUAAUGGGAAUGUGAUGAAUCAAUUAUAGUAAUUGAAUGAAGAUUAUCUCGCACAUAUUUAGUCUGCCAAUCGCCAAAGGUUAUUUAGUAGAUCAUUCGCGAACAAUGGUAUUCUAUUUCCAAAGUGAGAUUGUAUGAGUGACAAAUGGGCACUGCCGUCACAUGACUCAGCAUACUCAUUUUCUGGUUUUUGACCAGGAUCUUCUCUUUUAACCUUUUGAUUUUGGUUAGAUUUCUUCAUAUUUUACCUUGUAUGUACAUACUAUAUCUGUAUCAAGCUUCAUGGCGAUUAGUUUUGUACUACAAAAUUUUUCUAAUUUUGCUUCUUCAUCGCAGGUGUACCUUAAAAGAUCAGGAACGAAACGCAUCAGAAUCCAUUGCUAUCAAAUUUCAUUCGCGAUGCGUUUGCGCGAGGUCAUAAAAUUAAUUUCGAACAAAUAAAUUUAUUGACGAGUUUCCAUGGUUACUUCCGUGAUAAUAUCCUAAGAAACAUGAACGAUAUGCUGGAAAAGAUCGGAAAGUUUGUAAUCAUCCAAGGCUCGUAAUUACUCGCUCGAGCGACUCGGCGAGCGGAGAAAGCGGCACGAAGACGACAGACGCGACAGCGCUCGGCUGCUCGGCCGCUUGCAACAACAUUCCUUUGUUAGAAACCAAUUCCUUAGCCAAUAACGCCCGUCCGCGUCUGAGUCAUAAUGCGAUCUGAGUCGAUGACUCAAGCGCCGAGACCGCCAGCAAUGUCCUGCGGACGGAGAGGAUGCGGUAUUCAAACUUGCGGAUCCGAUUGUCACGCCGGAUCCACUAGGGUCUCUCGAGGCGGUCGCUUUUUACUCGAUAUCCUAAAUCGGAUAUGUACAACCAGGCAUCGUUCAGGCCUGGUUUUUCCGGGAAGGACACGUCUCAGUUCCCAGCCACGACUUACCUGCUCUGCGAACAAUCGUAGAGAAACGUAAAAUAAGGCGAUGCCCUAAACGAGAAUUCCUAAGCGAGAAUUUGCCUAAACGAAAUCACGAUAUUGUGAGAGAAAGAUCUCGAAUCGACAGAGUAGUGCUCGUUAACAGUUUGCGUUUCUAGAAUUUUUAUUAAUUAAAAUAGACGCGCUCGCUCGCUCGAGACGAAACGAGACUUAGAGACUUGCAUAUAUUUUUCGGGGGAGGGAGUUUUGCGUAUAUAUUUUGGAGAUAAGAUACGUGUCGGCAUGGUAAUAACUGAUCACCUCGCGAAAAGAAAGCCAUCGGACGCGCGGCACCUGCACGCGUUUGCCGUUCUCCCCUCGGCAACUCAAAUAUUUCCGGCUCACCUUGCGACCGAGAACGCGCCGCUUGAGCGAACGGUGCAUCGCCCAGCUGGCGACUUUAAGAACAGAUUUUUUUGUUCCCCCGUCACAUCCCCUGCAAUCCGCAAUCAGUACAUUAUCGCAUCACUCGAUCGACUGAUCCAAUGGCGACAACGAAUAAUAUCUUUUCUCUAUUUAUUUUCCCUUUUUUUUCCCCCCAAAAAUAUCAUUGAAACUACUUUCUGAGUACAACUGAAAAGAGAUUGAAAUAUUUCGGUAAAAAAUAUUUUAUUCGAGAUUUCUUCGAGAGAUUACCGUUAUUAUGAAACAAAUUAUGAACGCUAAUUAUGAACACUAAUGAGCAAAAUGAACAAAAUGAAGAAAUGAUUAGCGCUCGGUGUAAAUGCUACGUCGAACGGUACUCGUGAGAAUACCGUCGAGGUUGAACGAGCUUUAAUAUCGAUGUGUUAUAUCGUAUGUGAUGUAGUACAUACAAUACAAAUAUCUCGUUUCUCUCAUCGUUCCUUAUUCUUAAUCGUAAACAUUUGCGUUCUGUACAUUAACGUAUUUUCCACGAAGAAAAGCGGUAUCUUAUAGUUAUCGUAUGUAAAUUCUAUCUGUACAAUAAAUUCUCAUUUAAACAG